rnacentral:rRNA from 1 species
UACAGAGACUGCAAGCGUUAUUCGGAUUCAUUGGGCGUAAAGGGCGCGUAGGCGGCGGGGUAAGUCGGGUGUGAAAUCUCAGAGCUCAACUCUGAAACUGCACUCGAUACUGCUCUGCUUGAGGACUGGAGAGGAGACUGGAAUUCACGGUGUAGCAGUGAAAUGCGUAGAUAUCGUGAGGAAGACCAGUGGCGAAGGCGGGUCUCUGGACAGUUCCUGACGCUGAGGCGCGAAGGCCAGGGGAGCAAACGGG